rnacentral:rRNA from 1 species
CGGUGAAUACGUUCCCGGACCUUGCACACACCGCCCGUCAAGCCAUGGAAGCCGGGUGCACCUAAAGUCGGUAACCGUAAGGAGCCGCCUAGGGUGAAACUGGUAACUGGGGCU